GGCAGGGGGCGGGCCCUCCGCGAGGGGUAGGGAAGGGGCGGAGCGGCCAGGCCACCAGCCGGCAUUGCUCCAUUGGGCAAGCCACGCUGAGGGAUCCACCUAAGAGCCAAUCAAAGGCACAAACAUCAGACGAAGGGGCGGGAUCGCCACAGGGACCCUCUUCGGAGGUCAGAGCUCGGCGGGGUGCGGCUAGUGGCGGAGCGCGCUGCGAGGGGAGGGCUUUCCACUGUCGCUGGCGUGAACUCGCGUGCCCGCAAGCUGGAUUUCGGGAAUGCUCAGUUCAGAAGAGAAAAAAUUGCCGGGAAUCAAGUCCUUCUUUUUGUUAGUCGGUAGUCGAUUGAUGGGAAGUGUUCAAAAUCAUUCGAUGUGGUGACAAGGCUUCACCAGGUACUGCCUUCUAACGAGCUGGCCAUUUCCACAUGUCAGAUAGGACCAACUUGCCUUUUAACUACCCGUGUGAUACUUAAACACUGUUGCCGGUAUCACAGCUUUUCUUCAAAACAGGAAGCAACGAGAAUGAGGGCAUUCCAGUAGCAGGAGACAGCAUGCAUAGAGAUGCUGAUGAAGAAAGAGCCUAGCGCACGUGGGAAACUGCAAAAGUUCAGACUGGUUGGAAUGCUGGAAAUGUUGUGAAUGACAGGAGAUGAGGCUGGCGAGAAAACAGAGGUCAGAUUGUGGAAGGCUGUCAAGCCAAAGACUUUGAUUUUAUUCUUGAGAUUGAUGAGAUGUGUGUAAUCCAGGAGUGUGCAAAACAAUCUGUAAGGGUUCAGAAAACAUACUGCUUCUAUAUAUAGUUACCUUUGUCUUAACUUGAAAAUUUCAAAUUGUGUAGGAGUUACAAUGUGUGUAAUUGUUAUUAUAGUACUGGAUCCAAAUAAUUUAUAAAUAAAUAAAUAUAG
rnacentral:lncRNA from 1 species